AUUGAACGCUGGCGGCAGGCCUAACACAUGCAAGUCGAGCGGUAGAGAGGUGCUUGCAUCUCUUGAGAGCGGCGGACGGGUGAGUAAUGCCUAGGAAUCUGCCUAGUGGUGGGGGAUAACGUUCGGAAACGGACGCUAAUACCGCAUACGUCCUACGGGAGAAAGCGGGGGAUCUUCGGACCUCGCGCCAUUAGAUGAGCCUAGGUCGGAUUAGCUAGUUGGUGAGGUAAUGGCUCACCAAGGCGACGAUCCGUAACUGGUCUGAGAGGAUGAUCAGUCACACUGGAACUGAGACACGGUCCAGACUCCUACGGGAGGCAGCAGUGGGGAAUAUUGGACAAUGGGCGAAAGCCUGAUCCAGCCAUGCCGCGUGUGUGAAGAAGGUCUUCGGAUUGUAAAGCACUUUAAGUUGGGAGGAAGGGCAGUAAGUUAANACCUUGCUGUUUGUACGUUACC
rnacentral:rRNA from 1 species